AUAGAAAGAAAAAGAUUUUGAGACUCAGUCUCAUUUUUGGCAGUUAAGCCAGAUCUGCUGUUAGAGGAGAAUUCUUCUGUCCUAGCUGUGUCUCUGUGAUCUGUGGAUGAGGGUGGGAAAGCACCACUCAGUCAAUUGGGGUGUACAAAAUGGAGUUUGAGAAGGUCUCACAUCCAGGUUGUUUUGAAGCAAAGUCCAAGCAUUGUAUCACUUCAUCUGCAAAUAUUUCAAUAAGUACCCAAAAGUGGUUGGACUGAGUCCCAUGAAGCCAGAUCACUUCUGACUGCAAGGAGCUUGGAAAAGCAAGUAUCUGGAUCUUUUACCAGCUAAAUUUGGAGAAUUAUUGAUCAAAUUUGGAUCUCUGUGUGCUGUCCUCCAAUUUAAUACUUUCUGUGUUGCUGUUUUAUUUUCUUUCUUCUGGAACCUGGCAAAGUGCGUCAAGCGAUGAGGCUUCCUCUUUGAAGAUCACAGGUGAGAAGAUUAGGUGCUUUCUCAGAAGCCCAGCAACCUGAUGGGAGUGUGGAGUGAGCAAGACCCAAAUCGGAGCUUCAUCCCUGCAUGGUUCAUUUUGCUUAUUUGGCAAACUUGCCCUGCAGAAUCUACUCAAGCUUCCUCAGUUUCUCAAAUCAUUCUUGGGCAACAAAUGAACAAGAAAGAGGACGUCUUAUUAUCUGGUGUCUGGCUUGCUGAUUUAAUAACCUAGGAGACAGUGUUUGAAGAACACAAACUCUAAAGUCCUUCACUUAAAAAAAAAAAAAAACUUUCCCAAAUUGCUUACCAUUUGGAAAAAUUGCCUUACCUUCUUCAGUCAUCUCUGAUGUUGUCAUCCUCAGAGUAAGAAGUACGCAUUCAUAAGGAACCAUAACGUCCUUCAGGAAAUCCAGUACACCCUACAAUUUUACCUAAAACUUUGAUGUUGUUUUUUCUGAGCAUUUUACCUUCUAGGGAAAUGGAUCUCAUGCUGUUUAUCAGUUUCUGAAAGUUGUUAUUAAUCUCCCCUCAUCCCAAAAUUGAAGAACUUUGCUUAAAUCUUAGAAUCAGAACUUUGGCUCCAGUAAUAAAGACUUUUCAAUAUCUU
rnacentral:lncRNA from 1 species